UUGGUCAAUGGACGCAAGUCUGAACCAGCCAUGCCGCGUGAAGGAUGAAGGUCCUCUGGAUUGUAAACUUCUUUUAUCUGGGACGAAAACGGGAUUUUUAUCUCAAUUGACGGUACCGGAGGAAUAAGCACCGGCUAACUCCGUGCCAGCAGCCGCGGUAAUACGGAGGGUGCGAGCGUUAUCCGGAUUUACUGGGUUUAAAGGGUGCGUAGGUGGGCUUAUAAGUCAGUGGUGAAAGCCUGCAGCUUAACUGCAGAAGUGCAAUUGAUACUGUUAGUCUUGAGUACAGUUGAGGUAGGCGGAAUGUGUCAUGUAGCGGUGAAAUGCUUAGAUAUGACGCAGAACACCGAUUGCGAAGGCAGCUUGCUAAUCUGUAACUGACGCUGAGGCACGAAAGCGUGGGGA
rnacentral:rRNA from 1 species